GACGAACGCUGGCGGCGUGCUUAACACAUGCAAGUCGAACGGAAAGGCCCUGCUUUUGUGGGGUUCUCGAGUGGCGAACGGGUGAGUAACACGUGAGUAACCUGCCCUUGACUUUGGGAUAACUUCAGGAAACUGGGGCUACUACCGGAUAGGAGCUCCUGCUCCAUGGUGGGCGUUGGAAAGUUUCGGCGGUUGCGGAUGGACUCGCGGCUUAUCAGCUUGUUGGUGGGGUAGUGGCUUACCAAGGCUUUGACGGGUAGCCGGACUGAGAGGGUGACCGGCCACAGAGGGACUGGGAUAGGGCCAGGGCUGAUACGGGAGGCAGCAGUGGAGAAUUUAGCAAGAUGGGCGGAGGGCUGAAGGAGCAACGCCGCGUGCGGGAUGACGGCCGUCGGGUUGGAAAACGAUUUGGCCUGUGACGAAGCGUGAGUGACGGUAAUGGGUAAAGAAGCACCGGUAAACUACGU
rnacentral:rRNA from 1 species